rnacentral:rRNA from 1 species
GUUUGAUCCUGGCUCAGAGCGAACGUUAGCGGCAGGCUUAACACAUGCAAGUCGAGCGACAAAGGGGCUUCGGCCCUGAGUAGAGCGGCGGACGGGUGCGUAACACGUGGAUAAUCUGCCUCGUGGCGGGGGAUAACAGUCCGAAAGGACUGCUAAUACCGCAUGUCAGGUCGGAAACCCCGGUUUCUGACGAAAAAGAGGGCGCCCGCAAGGGGCUCUCACCACGAGAUGAGUCCGCGGCCCAUCAGCUAGUUGGCGGUGUAAUAGACCACCAAGGCUAAGACGGGUAGCUGGUCUGAGAGGAUGACCAGCCACACUGGGACUGAGACACGGCCCAGACUCCUACGGGAGGCAGCAGUGGGGGAAUAUUGGACAAUGGGCGAAAGCCUGAUCCAGCCAUGCCGCGUGAGUGAUGAAGGUCUUCGGAUCGUAAAGCUCUGUGGGAAGGACGAAAAAGCCUAACCUAAUACGUUAGGUCUUGACGGUACCUUCUUAGUCAAGCACCGGCUAACUCCGUGCCAGCAC